UGUGGCGAUCCGAGUGAAGAACUGUGAUUGGAUCACCUCCCCUGCUCUGGUCUGUCCACAGUGAUUGUAUUUUUGACAUCCCGCCUAAAUUCAGACCACCAAAUUUUGAAAUUACUUCCACCGCUCAAAAACUUUUGCACAUUGUUUAGCUUUAUCAUCAGACUUUCCUCUCUCUCUCUCUCUCUCUCUCUCUCUUAGAUGCUGAAUAAGUCGAUGGUCUUUAAUGCCAUCAAUUGGAAAUGUCGGAGCAUGGAUUUCGUCAUCUAAUUUCCGAACUAAGGUACGAUGAUCUCUUCUUCUUCGUCUGAUUCAGAUUCCCCAACCCUAAAUCAAUACGAUUUUGUACUUUUAGGGGAUUUCGUGUUGCUUUGUAGGGUUACGAGCGUUUGUGGCCAUGUUGGUUUGGUGGACGCUAGGGUUUGGGUAUUGGUUUUGGGCAGAUAUUUGUUGUUGAAUUUACGUGUUUCAGGUAAUAAUUCCUCUACUGCUAAGGUUACGGCUGAAGUUGAAGAAGAUGAUGCAUAUGAAACUACAUAGACUUUAUCCUCCACUGCUAAGGGUCUUGAAUUUGGGCAGAAGUUUGUUGUUCAUCGACUUAAUUUCCCAAAGUGUGCCAAUAAUACGACCCAUAUUCCUAUCCUUUUCUCUGUUUGUGUUUUCUGGUCCAAAAGACCAAAACCCUAAAAAUAAAGCAAGCAAUCCAAAUUGGAGCUUUGCGAUUGGGAUUGAGAUUAGCUAUAAAUUUAUUUGAAAGAUGGUAUCUUUACAAUUUAUUUCUGUUGUGUUCGAUUCUCAAAUGCUAACCCAAAAACUACAUUGCAAAGAAAUUUGUAGUAUUUAUCCAUCCCUUAUACUACUACUAAUCAACAUUGCUUAUCGCUGCUGAAAAGUAACAAGGUCUGUAAAUGUUAUGUUAAGCUUUAAUACUUAUUUGACACCGGUCUUUGUUUCCUCUGUAUUUGGUCUCUGGUCAUACUCACCGCCAUUCAGUAUUGACAGUUAUUGUGCUCAUACCCUUUCGAAUCCCAUAUGUUCCCAUUCUUGCGUGCCAUAUGUUCCCAUGUCUCACAAACACAACACUUGAUCGAUAUCGGUUUAUUCAACUAUCCGACCGGGAAAUCGUCUCCACAGUUCGGAUAAGGUGAUAAAAUUGCAAUUUGAUUUCAGGUUUGAUUUAGUAACUAAAUACAAUAGUGACUGAUUUAGUAACCCAAUAUGAAACAAAAGUUUGGUUAUGUAGUUUUCAAGAAUGCGAUUGGCGGUUUUGUUUUAAGUUGUAUUCGUUAAGCUAAAUAAGCUUUAGGGUUUUAAAGCUAAAAUAUUCUCUAGAAUGGGCCUUUUUUCUGUGAUAAUAUAUGAACUGGUGUGAUUAUUACAUUCAAAUCGAUGUCAUACCUUAGUGAAUUUGCUUGACUUCCUUUGUUCAAUGGAAACUAAACUGGCAGUCUAUAAGUUAAGAUGCUUAACCUUUUAAAUUCAAAAUUGAAGAGUUAAGCUGGUAGACAACUGCAAUAACUAUGGUGGUAUACAUAUGGGGCAACCGAUUAAUUUUCUUUAGGAUCUUUAUGCUUUAUUGCUAAUACUUUUUCAUCAUAUACAUGUAUGGGAUUGUAAUCAACCAUGGGGCCUCUAAUGUAUAAUGUUUAACUUCUAACACACAAAAAGUUUCUGGAUCUAAACUAUUGUGGAAUACUGAUGCUAGAUUUAGUUUCAAGGUAUCCAAUUUACCACCUAAAACUAUUCAAAAUGAUUUGUUAUUUUGACAAAUCAUGACAUAUAUGGGAUUGCUUAUUAAAGUCAUUGAUCUGCUUGUUACGGUUUUAGACGGCAAUAAGGGUGUUUGGAAUUUGUAAUGGUAUUGAUUUGUUUUUAAAUCCACCAAUCUGCAGGUUGUGUUGUUUUGGUUUAUGCAACAAUGUCAAGGGUCGCCAAAUGGAAAAUCGAGAAAGCUAAAGUAAAAGUGGUAUUUCGGCUGCAAUUUCAUGCGACAAAUGACCUGAUGGCCUUUUCGAAGUUAAGGAACACCAUUGAAGCCCCAAUUGGACAUUGCUGAGGGCAUUCAUAUUAAUGAUCAUGUUUUGUUUUCAUUCCGUUGGCUUUUGUUAAAAAAACCCUGACCCGACCUGACCCGAAUCCCAUUAUGGCCGGACCCGUUUCGACCUGAACCAAAAAACAACCCUUUUCUAUAAUUAACCCGUUUUGACCCGAGUCCGUUUUGACCCGAACCCGUUUUGACCCAUGACCCGACCCGAAUGGUGUGAGGUAAACGUUCAAGUACCAAUAAAAAAAGAUGAAAACUUGGUAAGACCAGAUGAUUUAUUUUCUACAAUUCAAGAUUGUAUUGGUGCAUCCAUCGCAUGACCCUAUCCAUUCAUCUCGGUAGUCCAUGAGGAUUGAGGACGCAUGAUGACUCAAGAUUUUAUCUUCUUAUUUCUUUAAUUGCUUUCAAUUUCUUUGUUAAAUGUUAAAACUUUAUGUUAGAUAAUGUUAACUUAUUUCUGGUUAGUGUUUUUGUUAUGAACAUGCUUAUUUGAAAUAUAAUGAAGUUUUAUUUCUUU